rnacentral:pre_miRNA from 1 species
GUACUAUUCCCUCCGUCCCAAAAUUCUUGUCUUACAUUUGUUUAGAUAUGGAUGUAUCUAACACUAAAAUGUAACUAGAUACAUCCGUAUUUAGAAAAAUUUAAGACAAGAAUUUUGGGACGGAGGGAGUACAAA